GAUGAAUAUUUAUUUUAUCCACCAUACAUCUAAAAAGGCCUAAUUAAAGUGACCAAGUGAUGAAAACCAACUAAAUUCAUAACGAAAGCAUAGUCAAAACUACUAGGAAAGCCCCUUAUGAACUACUACUGUUUUGUAUUUGAUUCGGAUAGCACAACUGUGCUAUGAAUGGGUGCCAUAAUGCGACAACGACAUGUGCCCCAUAUCAUGUUAUGGCUCAGCUGCAUUGUUUGACAAAUUGUUCUGGUUUUCAUCCCUGGUUACUUCCAGGCCAAGUUCGAUUCCCAAGUACUGCAACCACUUGUUGUUUUCAGCUUGAUUUG